rnacentral:rRNA from 1 species
CAGCAGCCGCGGGAAUACGUAGGGUGCGAGCGUUAAUCGGAAUUACUGGGCGUAAAGCGUGCGCAGGCGGUUCGUUAAGACAGAUGUGAAAUCCCCGGGCUUAACCUGGGAACUGCGUUUGUGACUGGCGAGCUAGAGUAUGGCAGAGGGGGGUAGAAUUCCACGUGUAGCAGUGAAAUGCGUAGAGAUGUGGAGGAAUACCGAUGGCGAAGGCAGCCCCCUGGGAUAACACUGACGCUCAUGCACGAAAGCGUGGGGAGCAAACAGGAUUAGAUACCCCAGUAGUCCCUGUCUCUUAUAA